rnacentral:rRNA from 1 species
AAAGUCCCCUUCGGGGGAUAAGUAGAGUGGCGCCCGGGUNAGUAACACGUAGGUAAUCUACCUUCGGGUGGGGAAUAACGCAGGGAAACUUGCGCUAAUACCGCAUAAUGCAGCGGCACCACAUGGUGACAGUUGUUAAAGCGGGGGAUUUUCGGACCUCGCGCCUGAAGAGGAGCCUGCGGCAGAUUAGCUAGUUGGUAAGGUAACGGCUUACCAAGGCGACGAUCUGUAGCCGGCCUGAGAGGGCGGUCGGCCACACUGACACUGACAUACGGGUCAGACUCCUACGGGAGGCAGCAGUCGGGAAUUUUGGGCAAUGGGCGAAAGCCUGACCCAGCAACGCCGCGUGAAGGAUGAAAUCCUUCGGGAUGUAAACUUCGCAAGAAUAGGAAGAAUUAGCGAGUACUAAUACUGCUCGUGAUGACGGUACUAUUUGUAAGCUCCGGCUAACUCCGUGCCAGCAGCCGCGGUAAUACGGGGGGAGCAAGCGUUGUUCGGAUUUACUGGGCGUAAAGGGCGCGUAGGCGGUCAGCACAAGUCAGUUGUGAAAUCUCCGGGCUUAACUCGGAAAGGUCAACUGAUACUGUGCGACUAGAGUGCGGAAGGGGCAACUGGAAUUCUCGGUGUAGCGGUGAAAUGCGUAGAUAUCGAGAGGAACACCUGCGGCGAAGGCGGGUUGCUGGGCCGACACUGACGCUGAUGCGCGAAAGCCAGGGGAGCGAACGGGAUUAGAUACCCCGGUAGUCCUGGCCUUAAACGAUGGAUGCUUGGUGUCUGGAGUUUUAUAGUCUCCGGGUG